UACAGAGGUCUCAAGCGUUGUUCGGAUUCAUUGGGCGUAAAGGGUGCGUAGGCGGCGCGGUAAGUCGGGUGUGAAAUCCUGGAGCUCAACUCCAGAACUGCCUUUGAUACUGGCGAUCUUGAGUCCGGGAGAGGUGAGUGGAACUGCGAGUGUAGAGGUGAAAUUCGUAGAUAUUCGCAAGAACACCAGUGGCGAAGGCGGCUCACUGGCCCGGUACUGACGCUGAGGUGCGAAAGCGUGGGGAGCAAACAGGG
rnacentral:rRNA from 1 species